GUCCUGGCCGCGUUGUGGUGGGCGGCGACCCGUUUCGGCUGGGUCGACGUGCUGUUCCUGCCGGCACCCGAACA
rnacentral:tRNA from 1 species